AAGCUUGAGUUGAGAUAGGGUGACCAUAAGCCCUCUUUUACCUGGACAUGUCCUCUUUUUGGGGGGCUGUACAGCUUUGUACAGGGGAGUUUAUAUGAUCCUCCAAAUGUCCGGGGUUUUGUAUGGAAGUUUUGAGGUUGUGUCACGUGGACUUACUGAUUUAGAAGCACGUAGGAAACACCAGAUACGACCCGUAAAACUCUAAAACUUAACUACGCAUGACUCCAUGACUCUGCCCCCUCUUCCUAGGUCAUCCUAGUUGAAAUAUUUUCAACUCUUGUGAGUAGGCAUUUGAGGUAAGCAGUGCGUUGGACGUGCCAUGAAGUCACAUCAUUUGCAUGAAUAGGCAGCUGAAUUUGCACGGUUAGCGCCGCGCAAUUCGUGCCGUGCAACUCGUGUCAUGUGCGUCACUGGAGUAGAACUCACGUCUAAUCACUUCUUUGUAUUGACUUUACAUGUAAUUUACUUAUGCUAAUUUGUUUAUUUGUUUAUAAAUUUGAAGCAAGUAGCAUGUUGGACGUGCCACAAAGUUGCAUCAUUCGCAUGAAUAGGCAGCUCAAUUUGCAUGGGUUUUUGACACGCAAUUCACGCCGCACAACUUGUGUGAUGUGCACCACCAGAGUAGAACUCAUGUCAAAUCACGUUUUACUCAUUAUGUUAGUUUGCUUAAACCAAAUUUUUAACCACGGCCACUAAAAGUCCAGUAAAAGUCCAGCUGUUCAACUAGCGCUGGGUGAUAAAACCAUAACGCUAAUUAUUGUGAUGGAAUUGUUCUGUAAAACAAACUCUGACCACUAGGUGGAAAAAGACGCAGUGCUAAUGCUGCUAAAUUCUGAUAGUAGAAAGAAAAGAUAAGAAAAUCGAGGGCAGCCAAUCAGAGAGACACUUGAGAUGGAAAGAAAACAACUAAAAUUUGAAACGGCAACUUUAGCCUGUAAAUAAUAAUUGACUGUACGUGUUAGCAUCAAGCUAACAAACUUCAGUUUUCCUGAAUGCUGUAAUUAGCUGUAGAUUUCUCAGCGAUGUGUUACACAGUAUAUAUGCAUGUUUAAUUUUGACAAAGUGACAAAUUGUGUUUUAUUUCUGUAUUUCUGGGCCUGUAUUUCUGAACAGCCUGGACCUGGAGGACUCUGUCUUUCAUUACUGGAACUAAUUAUCCUUUAUUUAGCGCCAAACUUCAAGGAGGACAAAGGAUAUUAAUAUUAUUGUUUAUAAGUUAUUUCCCACUGCUUCAUACCAUAAAUACUGAGGCCAGGCUAGAUAUUUAUUUUUCUUCGAUGAGAUCAUGCAAUUAAUUACUGUAAAAUAAUAGCAAUAAUGAUAAAUAAAUAAACAAUACUUUUCUGUUUUGAGUGAGAUCAUUUGUACAGGACAAACCUAAAGCUCUUUGAUUAUUUGGGGAGACCAGAUUGAAGAAACUGGAUACCAGAUAUCAGCUCAAAAUCCUGAUAAAGUGAAACGAUAAUCUCCCUAAAGGAGUGUUUGGUGCUCUGAUUUAGACAUAAUAAACUCUGGUCAACAAACUCCCUCUGCUGUGAUAGACCUGCUGGCUUGGACUUCGCUGUGGGAAAGAGAGAGAUAGUCUUUUUCAAAUCUCAGGGCAAUAAGUAGAGCUUAAUUGAAACACACCAAAAAGAUCUGGCCGCAGGAGGAGCGCCAAGUUAUUAACUGAUGUGUAGAUAGACUUGUUGGGGUUUUCGGCUGAGAGGGAAAGGAGCAGACCUGAUGUUGGAUAAUCCUGAGUCAUUUCCUCUGGACAUAAGACUGCCUGCUUAGCCAGCUGCCUGAUCCAGAUAGCAGGUGGAAAUAAGAGUGAGGAAAUGUUACCAGAGACAUCUAAAAGUAUUCAACAGUAAUGACUCAAAAGCUUUCAUAGAUGAAAUGUGGCCAGGGUUGGUUCCACCUCUGACCUUUGAGCAGAAAUCUAAUCAUAUUACCAGAUAAUUGAGUGACUCCACCCCAGGCCACCCCUUGGAAACAUCCCUGCUAUAGGCGAUCCAUAUAUUUUGUUUUGGAGAUACUGCAUUGAGUCAUGAUGUGACUGAGAAAAAGAAGCGGAUUGACACUGAUGUGAAUUCAGUUAAUUUAACCUCUCUUCUUAAAACUCUCCUUCUAACAAAAGGAUCAGAAGAAUAAACAACUCUCAGACCGGGAUCCAUGCACUUAAUUUGCUGGAGCUCUAAUUUCCCUCCUCGUGAAAGGAAUGGGUUCCAGGACAUCACAGCUCAGUCAAUAUGAUAUUGAAAUGUAUCCAGGGUAAAAUUAGAGUGUGGAAUUAAUCAGUAACAAGCCAAUAUGCAGCUCCCUGAUUCUGUUUUCUGUACAUAAAGAAACAUAAAUCAUUGUGAACCUCAUUAAACGGCCAGCGAGCACAGGGUAAUUUACCCAGGAGGCCGCUUGGCUGGAGUCCCUCCCAAAUCCACACAACUGUCUUUGGCCUCAGAGGCCUGGCAGAGCUGAGAGAGAGAGAGGCAGAGGUGAGCACAGACAGGAUCAGAUGGAGAAGGGAGAGAUGGAUGACGGGGUUUUGAAAGAUGAGCUGUCCUCUAUCUCUCUUUAGCCGAUGAUAGUGACCGAGGGACCUGAACCCCGGAGUGAUCGCACUCUGCUCCAGACUCAUCUUACAUCACAAACACUGUCAGCACAUUUCAUACAGGCACAUGCUUUAUUAUGAGUUUUUUAAUUUCAAAGUUUAUGGCUGAAGUUAAUACUUUUUAAGUAUCAAGGAAAGCUUUGGGGACAUGCUGCCAGAUUAUUUUGACUCUCCUAGUAGUAAAGUGGCCUCCUCUUCUGUAUUUUUCACAUGUUGAGUGUUUUCCUCUGCCGUUCUUGUUUCCUUUCUCUCUCUCUCUAGCACCUCGCUCACCCAUCCCUAAUGCCGCCCAGCCUCUGGUAUCCACAGCAGCCUCUCAGCUGCCUCAAUUCAAUCUGUGCUACCUGUGCCACAUUCCCCUUGACACCCCUGCUCCUGUGCUUCUUUACACGUGACUUUACUGUCAACUCCUCUCGGUCUCUGAGUCACCCAAACCCUAUCAAGAUGACUGCUACGUAUCAGUAUGCCAGUUUUCUACAUAUACCCCUUUAACCAUCUUAUGACCCUGUCUGUGGUCUUGCAAUUGAGUCCCGUUAUAAGUUGUUGGUAAAUAACUGUAAUAUAAAUCUUGAUCAUUUCUGUCUAAACGUGACUAAAAAUAACUGCAAGCCCCGAGCAGAGGCAGAAAAGUAGAGUGGCUGACAGGACAAGCCUCAAGCUGUGUCCAAGACGUGAAACAAAUUUUGAUUUCAAAGGUGGGGGGGCACAUGUGACUUGAGUACUGAUGUGACAUGUGGAUUCAGACGUCAAUGUUCAGUUCAGAUUUCUUUAUUUAUUCCACAAUUCAGUUCCCGCCUUUACAUAUAGCCGAGCACACAGCACAACUCGCACACACAGUAACAGAGGAGGCAAUACGACCAGCGGGUGAAUGGAAGUACAAACCCGAUACAUGGAUGUAAAUGAAACCUCCGAUGAAUGUGAUGUUACAGAAGGGAAAAUGAACGCCGCCCAACUGUUGACUUACAUCGGCGAAUGGGCGAAAAAUGAUGUCAACAAGCGGCCCUGUGGCAGAGCCAAUCAAAGACCUUGUGGGUGGUCCAAACCCAUUAAAGGGAACCAGGUUUUGGUUUGAGCAGCCGUUUGGUCCUAGUGUCUGAUGUGUAUCGGUUUGCUUUAGCGUAAAGUAACAUUGUUUUCAGAUGGUUAAAACUGCAGGGGACCAAAACAGGCUUUUGAAAAAUUAUGUUUGAGGUCCAAGAGUCGACUGGGACGGUGACAAGGAGAUGGACCAGCAACAGAAAGGAUCAACUUUGAGAACUGUAGCAAUCAAGAGACAAUAGCGUCCAUCAACCUUCAGCUUCAACUAUCUUGUUGGCCGGGUGGGAAGAUGAGUGGAGCUUUUUUCUCAGCAUGAGUUUGUAAAGUUGACGCGUUACAGCACAAGAGAGUGACAGGCAAAUCCUUUCCUUCAAUGAAAAGCUGAUGAAUGAAUGAGUCAAUAAAUCUCAAACUUUCUGAGAGAAACCGUCUAAAACUUGUCGAAAGUUAUGAUAGACCUGCCAAUGAUGGUGGGAUCUACAAUAACAAUACAAGAACUUUAUUCAUCCCCAAAGGGAUAUUUAGUAUUUGAUGAAACUCAUUGAUUUGGGACCGUGUCGCACUCUGAUGUUUAUGACAUUAUUGUAAUAUGGGAGCUCCUUUGUUCUGAGGCUUUAUUGCUUGAGAUACAGAUGAGACAGAGUUAAAUGAAGGCAGCCUGAGCUUUUCUUGAUCUAGUUUUGAUGUCUAACUGAUGCUGCCAAAAAAAAGAUUUUGAAAAAAUCAUAAUCCUUUUUUCAUUAUUGUUAAAAACUUAAUUUGUGCUCUGUUAGUUUUUAAUCUUAAGUAUUUUACUCUGCCUUAAUCUUGAUUCCCUGCUGUGCAGCUGAAAAAUGAAGUUUGUUUCUCAGGGCAGAUAAGACACAGUUUUCUUUUUUUAACAUCAAGUUUUACUGUCUUAAAAUCCCCCGUUUUUAUUGAUUUGCUCCACAUUUCACACAUGGUUUAUAGAUCCCCAGAGGGUCCAGAGGCUGUCUUAAUACCACAACAGCUGUGAAUAAAUCUGAUCCAGCUGGUCCCAAAAUUAAAAUAAAUGUGCUUAAAAUUAACCAAAGAUCACAUUAUGCCAUAAAACAGUGCCUUUACAAGUCAUUUUAAUUGAACUUAUAGGGUCGCAAUUCACCGAAUAACACUCUGUUCUGUUCCUUUAACUGCUGCCUCUGUGAUCCAUCAUUAAGCUUUAGUGGCCUCACUCUCAGUCGAGGUCAAAGGUCAGGUUUUUUGCCCACAAUGGGGAAAUUGUAGCUUUCCCUCGAGCGCAGGUUAUUACUAGAAAAUGCAAAUGCCGAACUCUCGUGCCAUCUAUUUUUAAUCCACGUUUCAUCUGUUCAGACCUAUUCUUGUCCAUCUUGACAGUCUGAAACCUGAAAACCGUGUCUUAUGUUUGAACAUUAAUAAACACCAAACUGCUGUAAUAGACGAAAGAGAGAGGCCGUGUUUUUAGAUUGAUAUUAUUCCUCAUUGAAUUUCAAGGUUGUUUCAGUUUCAUUGAGGAUUCAUCAGAAAUCACAGUUUCACAGCCGCGCUUAGUUAACGUCUCAUUUCUUAACUGUUUCACCACAAGGUUACCACAAGGAGAAUUACAGUGUGUGUGUGCAUGUGUGUAAAUGUGUGUAAUUUAUUCCAUGAGAGAUGUAAUAUGUUGGAGGGUGUUGGUAAUAGGCUGCAAAAUGGACCCUGAAGAUCUAAGAGAGGACCAGCAUUCCCAAAUGACUUUCAAUAAGGCAGAACAGCCGACUCCCUACAUCUGCUCUUUUCCUUCAGUGAUUUUCAUUAAUCACCAGGCUGUGUUAAAUACUCGAUUCUGAUUGGUCGAAACCUCCCCUGACAUUGGUCGACUUCUAUUACAGACUUUCUUAACUGUGUAAGUGUGAUUGUUCUAUUUCUAAAACUGUGUGUUUCUGCCAUUCUUGGCCAGGUCUCCCCGGAAAAAGCCGUCUCUGAUCCUGAUGGGACUCGUCUGGCAAAAUAAAAUAGAAUGAACAAGAAGAACAGUGCGUAAACAUGACCACUUGCAGAGUUACAGGGUGUCCUUUAUCAGUUACCUUUAAAUCUCUGUUGUUUGUCUUGGCAACAGCUCAGAGGACAGAUACAUACAAGAUACAUACCCAAAGGUAUGUUCAGAGGGAUUGUGUUUUACCAGAUGUGCUAGAAAAACCAAAGGGUAUGAAAUAGGCGUGCACCGAUCACAAUUUUCUGGUCGAUCACCGAUUACCAGUCUUUAGAAAGCGUGACCUGCCGAUACUGAUUUUGGCCGAUACCUUUUUUUAAUAACUGACAAAAUACACCUUCGAUGCUCCAAUCUCAUUUUAAUGAAAAACAUUAAACUACGGUGGCCUGGAAGUGCAAAACGCAACUGCAAAUCACAAAACACAACAGCAAAAGAGAAAACGCAAAAGAGAAAACGCAACCACAAAUCCCAAAACAUGACAGCAUCGUCUGUCUUCUUCUUCUUCGUUGUAGUUAAAUGGCAGUUUACUCCGCUGGGGGUGGAGUACUACCGCCACCUGCUGGAUGUUGGAACGGGAAA
rnacentral:lncRNA from 1 species